AUACGUAGGGUGCAAGCGUUAUCCGGAAUUAUUGGGCGUAAAGGGCUCGUAGGCGGUUCGUCGCGUCCGGUGUGAAAGUCCAUCGCUUAACGGUGGAUCCGCGCCGGGUACGGGCGGGCUUGAGUGCGGUAGGGGAGACUGGAAUUCCCGGUGUAACGGUGGAAUGUGUAGAUAUCGGGAAGAACACCAAUGGCGAAGGCAGGUCUCUGGGCCGUUACUGACGCUGAGGAGCGAAAGCGUGGGGAGCGAACAGGAUUAGAUACCCUGGUAGUCCACGCCGUAAACGGUGGAUGCUGGAUGUGGGGCCCGUUCCACGGGUUCCGUGUCGGAGCUAACGCGUUAAGCAUCCCGCCUGGGGAGUACGGCCGCAAGGCUAAAACUCAAAGAAAUUGACGGGGGCCCGCACAAGCGGCGGGGCAUGCGGAUUAAUUCGAUGCAACGCGAAGAACCUUACCUGGGCUUGACAUGUUCCCGACGGUCGUAGAGAUACGGCUUCCCUUCGGGGCGGGUUCACAGGUGGUGCAUGGUCGUCGUCAGCUCGUGUCGUGAGAUGUUGGGUUAAGUCCCGCAACGAGCGCAACCCUCGCCCCGUGUUGCCAGCGGAUUAUGCCGGGAACUCACGGGGGACCGCCGGGGUUAACUCGGAGGAAGGUGGGGAUGACGUCAGAUCAUCAUGCCCCUUACGUCCAGGGCUUCACGCAUGCUACAAUGGCCGGUACAACGGGAUGCGACGCGGCGACGCGGAGCGGAUCCCUGAAAACCGGUCUCAGUUCGGAUCGCAGUCUGCAACUCGACUGCGUGAAGGCGGAGUCGCUAGUAAUCGCGAAUCAGCAACGUCGCGGUGAAUGCGUUCCCGGGCCUUGUACACACCGCCCGUCAAGUCAUGAAGGUGGGCAGCACCCGAAGCCGGUGGCCUAACCCCUUGUGGGAUGGAGCCGUCUAAGGUGAGGCUCGUGAUUGGGACU
rnacentral:rRNA from 1 species